rnacentral:tRNA from 1 species
UUUGGUGUGGCAGAAUCCGGAUAUUGCAAUAGAUCUAAGCCCUAUUCAUAGAGGUUCAACUCCUCUCUCCAAAU